rnacentral:rRNA from 1 species
AGAGUUUGAUCCUGGCUCAGAUUGAACGCUGGCGGCAUGCCUAACACAUGCAAGUCGAACGUGAAAGCACCUUCGGGUGUUAGUAGAGUGGUGGAUGGGUGAGUAAUGCUUGGGAAUCUGCCUAGUAGUGGGGGAUAACUCGGGAAACUCGAGUUAAUACCGCAUAUGUCUUAUGGGGGAAAGAUUUAUCGCUAUUAGAUGAGCCCAAGUCAGAUUAGCUAGUUGGUAGGGUAAUGGCCUACCAAGGUGAUGAUCUGUAGCUGGUCUGAGAGGACGAACAGCCACACUGGGACUGAGAUAUGGCCCAGACUCCUACGGGAGGCAGCAGUGGGGAAUAUUGGACAAUGGGCGAAAGCCUGAUCCAGCAAUGCCGCGUGUGUGAAGAAGGCCUGCGGGUUGUAAAGCACUUUCAGUUGGGAAGAUUAUGAUGUUACCAACAGAAGAAGCACCGGCUAACUCUGUGCCAGCAGUUGUGGUAAUACGGAGGGUGCAAGCGUUAAUCGGAAUUACUGGGCGUAAAGCGCGCGUAGGCGGCUUGGUCAGUCAGAUGUGAAAUCCCCGGGCUUAAUUUGGGAAUUGCAUUUGAUACUGCCUGGCUAGAGUAUGGUAGAGGGAAGUGAAAUUUUAGGUGUAGUGGUGAAAUGUGUAGAUAUUUGGAGGAAUAUUAGUGGUGAAGGUGAUUUUCCUGGACCAAUACUGACGCUGAGGUGCGAAAGCGUGGGUAGUAAAUAGGAUUAGAUAUCCUGGUAGUUUACGUUGUAAACGAUGUCAACUAGCCGUCGGAUUUAUUUAAGAGCUUGGUGGCGCAGUUAAUGUGAUAAGUUGACCGCCUGGGGAGUACGGCCGCAAGGUUAAAACUCAAAGGAAUUGACGGGGGCCCGCAUAAGCGGUGGAGCAUGUGGUUUAAUUCGAUGCAAUGUGAAGAACCUUACCAGCCCUUGACAUCCUCGGAACUUUCUAGAAAUAGAUUGGUGCCUUCGGGAACCGAGUGACAGGUGCUGCAUGGCUGUCGUCAGCUCGUGUUGUGAGAUGUUGGGUUAAGUCCCGUAAUGAGCGUAUCCCUUGUCCUUAGUUGCCAGUAUUUUGGAUGGGAACUCUAAGGAGACUGCCGGUGAUAAACCGGAGGAAGGUGGGGAUGACGUCAAGUCAUUAUGGCUUUUAUGGGCUGGGCUAUACACGUGCUACAAUGGCCGGCACAGAGGGCAGCGAACCCGCGAGGGGGGGCUAAUCUCACAAAACCGGUCGUAGUCCGGAUCGCAGUCUGCAAUUUGACUGCGUGAAGUCGGAAUCGCUAGUAAUCGCAGAUUAGAAUGUUGCGGUGAGUACGUUCCCGGGCCUUGUACAUACUGCCCGUCACACCAUGGGAGUGGGUUGCAAAAGAAGUGGGUAGCUUAACCUUCGGGAGAGCGCUCACCACUUUGUGAUUCAUGACUGGGGUGAAGUUGGAACAAGGUA